CCUCGUGCAGCCGUCUCUCGUGCCCUGCCCCGAGUUCCUUCCUCUCUUCGUGUGUUCGUUUGUCUGACAAACACCUCUCGGGCACUUUCUAUCAGCUGGGCGCUGUCCCAAGCUUGUGACUUAGAGGUGGCAAGGUCCUGUUUGGAGGGGAGACCACACACAUCCCCAGAUGGCAGACUCUCAUUCAACUAUCCGUUCGACAGAUAUUCGCUGAGCGCCUACUGUGCGCCAGGCCGUCGGCCAGGUACUGGAGACACAGCAGCGGACAAAAUAGACCCAGGACUGCCCGCACAGAGCUUUCUUCCCUGCGGGAAAGCAGACGUGGAAGUGAAACUGUGCUGGCUUUGGAGAUACAGGUUGGGGACCGGGCCCAAGACCACUCCUCAGAGAUGACCACCUCCCUCUGGCGAUCCUGGAGUCUCCCCUGCCUGCCAGUUUUGAUCAGGGGUAGUUUGGGGACACAGCCUCUGGACGUGGCCCCCACUGGCCGGCCGGCUGGGAGGGCUCAGUGUUGUGACCAAAAUGCUGGGACUUCUCAGAGAAGAGUGGGCAGCCCUCUCUACCCAACGAUAAAGGUCUGAUCAUCUUUGUCCGUGACAAACUGUCAUCUUUAAAAACAAAGUUUCAAAUUCGCCACCAGGAGCUGUUAUUCACAGGAUCAUCCAUGAAUCUUUGGGAAAAAAGAGAGAAACUUUUAGCAUUUGUGUUUUUCCAAAAGUAGCCCAUGUUUAUUGUUGAAAACACAGAUAGACGCAAAAGAAGAAAACAAAAUGAACGAUAAUCGGGCCUCCCAGAGAUAAUCGCUGUUAACGCUUUGGUUUCUACAUCUAUCUGCAUCUAUGGAUGUGUCGUAAUUGCCAUCUCCAUCUCCGCUUAUGCAGCUGAAUUCACUUUAAAGAUAAGAUUGUGCUGUACCAUUUCAUAACUUCUUAUCAACUACUAUAUCAGGAUCACUGGGCUCUGACUUGCUGUCUACACUGCCCCUUUCCACCGCGGCAGAGUGUGCGAGUGCCGCAAGCUGUUCAACAGAUUUCCUAUUGUUGAAUAGUUGGGUUGGUUUACCAUUUUUAUGAUUUAAGAUGGAGCGGCAACACAGCCUUAUGGCCAAAUCUUUGCCACAAUUAUUUACUAAGGAUAAGUUCCUAGGAGUGAAAUUUCUGAGUUGAAGAGAAAGCACUAUUUAAAAGUUUUAAACUACUUAUUUUUGAGUAAAUAGUAUAUUCAAGAGUUUCGAAAUUUAAAAGGGAUCUCCUCACCUCUGUUCUCAUGUCACCCAGUUCCCUCCCCAGAGGCAGUCACUAUUGCCAGUGUCUCCUGUUCUUCCCAGAGAUAUUUUGCACCUAUAUUCUAUAUAUGUCUACAGUAUCUGUGUAUGUAUAUAUACACAUAUACAAAAUACAGGCGUAUUCUCUAUAAA